GGAGGUCUUAGCUUAAUUAAAGUGUUUGAGUUGCAAUCAGAAGAUGUAGUUGUUUUACAGGCCUU
rnacentral:tRNA from 1 species